rnacentral:lncRNA from 1 species
CCAAGGGGUAAAAUAUAUAGUGGGGGAAAAGGAAGUGAAGUGAAAUGGGAAAAGUCAAUUUGAGAUUAUCUGGAGUUUUAAGAAGUUUUGUUGGUUUUUAUUCAGUGGGAGAGACUUAUAGCUGCAAAUUUGUGUUUUAUAUACGUAUAUCUCUUUUGUAAUAAUAGCCAAAGAAAGUAAAAAUCAUAAAUUAGCUCUUUUCAGAGCUCCCUCUAAGCAAGGUACCCAGAACCCUGGCAAGUUAGCACUUGGUGUGGAGACCGUGGCUCACCGGACUGGUGAUGGGGUGCUUUUUCAUUUCUGCCACCUUUCUUGGUCAUUGUAAGGGCAAAGCGGGCAUACUCCCAUGGCAUCGAACUUUUGUCUUAAAGUAAAUCAAGGCCGUUGAGUUGAGAAUGCUUUGCUUUUGUUCUCCAAGUGUAUCUUCAUGGAGCAAAAGUCAUUGAUCCCACUGAGAAAAUUAAGACUCAGAAGUAUCUUUUAAAAUCAGUUUAGAGCAAAAUGGGGCUUAAGUAAAACAUUGAAAUCCUGACCAUAUUCACCAGUCACUUAUUUAGGACCAAGAAACAGGUACACGCCUUGGCAUUUUCUGCUGUGAGGUGUGAAGAUGGGUUUCUGUCGUGUCUAACACUUAGCGUUGUUCUCCAUCCCCAUGGACAUCAUGCACAUGCAGCUUCUCACCCAGGGAAUGCACUUCGUAGCCCAUCAGGCUGC